rnacentral:rRNA from 1 species
CGCGGCCUAUCAGCUUGUUGGAGAGGUAACGGCUCACCAAGGCAUCGACGGGUAGCUGGUCUGAGAGGAUGAUCAGCCACACUGGAACUGAGACACGGUCCAGACUCCUACGGGAGGCAGCAGUGGGGAAUCUUGCACAAUGGGCGAAGCCUGAUGCAGCGAUGCCGCGUGCGGGAAGAAGGCCCUAGGGUUGCAAACCGCUUUCAGUAGGGAAGAAAAUGACGGUACCUACAGAAGAAGGUGCGGCCAACUACGUGCCAGCAGCCGCGGUGACACGUAGGCACCAAGCGUUAUCCGGAUUUAUUGGGCGUAAAGAGCUCGUAGGCGGUUUGGUAAGUCGGGUGUGAAAACUCUGGGCUCAACCCAGAGAGGCCACCCGAUACUGCUAUGACUAGAGUACGGUAGGGGAGCGGGGAAUUCCUGGUGUAGCGGUGAAAUGCGCAGAUAUCAGGAGGAACACCAGUGGCGAAGGCGCCGCUCUGGGCCGUAACUGACGCUGAGGAGCGAAAGCAUGGGUAGCAAACAGGAUUAGAUACCCUGGUAGUCCAUGCCGUAAACGUUGGGCACUAGGUGUGGGUCUCAACCAACGAGAUCCGCGCCGUCGCUAACGCAUUAAGUGCCCCGCCUGGGGAGUACGG